UCCACUCGCACGCCCGACUCUCCUGCCCUCCACUCACACCCGACUCACUGCCCUCGUUCGCAGCCGCCCUCCAUCCCUUCGCCGCCGCCAAGACCCCGCUGGAUCUCACCGCCGCCGAUCUCCUCGAGAAGACCCUGCCGGAUCUCACCGUCGCCGAUCUCCUAGAGAAGACCCUGCCGGAUCUCACCGCCGUCGAUCUCCUCGCGAAGAUCCCGCCGGAUCUCGCUGCCGCCGUAACUCCAUAAAGCCGCCGCCGCCGAUCCCCUCCGGAAGACCCCGCCGGAUCUUGCGUCGGGGCCACGGUUCUGGAUCGCCGUCGCAGGGCGGUUUCAACCAGAGCCGGCGGCCUUGAGGAGAGGAGCUCGACGAGCGGGCAGGGUGACCCCAUGCCUUGGAGACGGCGACCCUCAACCCCUUGCUGCUGUGGUGCACUGGGCACAUAUGUGACGAGGAGGAGGCGAGCCACAAUUCAUCACCUUCCUCGUCUCUCUCAUGGCUGUGCACAAGGAUGUCCGCACCCCGAGCCGAGCUCUGUUUGACCGGAGGACAAGCAGAGGAAAGGCGAACAGGGGUGAUGACGUGGCUCCUGAGCAAGGUGAACAUCGCCUUUAAGGCGAGCGGUGGCGGCACCUUAUCUUGGGCCCCUACAAUAAGUAAACUCAACAUGCGUGAUUCUGAUUAGAGGCAACCCGAUCGUUAUUGAACAUAUUGAUGAUUCCUGUUGUGUAUUCUCAAGGAAUGGUCAGGUUUAGUACUGUAACUAUUUUCUUAUCAAAUAUAUUUGGGUGGUGCUCAAAAUGCAGAGCUGAAAAGCAAGAAACGUAAAGCCACCUCUGAAGAUAAGUUCACCAUGCCUCCCAGAGUGUCACCCCGCUUCGUUGAACUUAAUGGAAUAAGAUCAGAUCAGAAUAACCUUUGUAAACUAGGCAACUGAAUCAUUUCAUUGUUGCUUGUCCAUGUAACGAAGAACUAUCAUUUGGGUACCAAGUUCCACUUCAGGCCAGGAAAAUUUCUUAUAACUUCAAAACGGCAAGGGAUGCACCAUUGUCUUCAGGUCUGCCUUGCAGGUUGGAGUGCAGCUUUCAGAUAUCUUUCUUUCCUUGGGAUAGUUGGAAUGGAAUACUAUGACUAGAUAUACAAUGGUAUUGUUAUCAGUGUUCGGCCUUCAAUGAUUUCGGUGCAGCAUGUCUAGACCAUCAACGGCAAUUUGAGCUCCUUAGUGAAGUAGGUUUGUAAGGCGUUGCUUCAACUCAAGAAAAUCAAUGGCCACAAUUGGGAAGUUGACUGACAAUCCAAAGAGAGUGCCAAUUUUCAAUCUCAUGUUUAGGUGCUUACAUCAAUCUCGUGCAUAGUCUCGAUCACCACCACCGGGGCAGCUACUUCUGCUGGAGGGGCUGGGCGCCGCCGUGCGGAUGCUAUCACCCAUGCGCGCAGUGAUGGCAUGGUGGCCGAAGAAGGCCGUCUUCUGGGGAGCCGCGCGCUGGCCGCCAUCUCCACCCGCGGCCACACCAACAAGACAGGUGAUUUUAGGGUUGGUUCUGUCUGAAACCAAGCUGGCAGUAAUAUGCAGAGAAGGUUCGCCUGACAUAAUGACCAACGAGAGCAAGUUGUUUUUUCUUGAUGAAAAUGAUAGCUACCACUUGAUGAGAUUUAGCAAUACAAGCAUUUCCUCUAAUUUUAUUUGUAGGUAAUCCUUUAAGCUCCAAGGAAAUAGCUGAAUGUCACUACCAAAUUAAAUUACAUUUGUACAGAAAAUACGUGGAGUUAUGUGAUCUGCAAGUGAGCAGCUCUCUCAUCAACGAGUUAAUAACAUUAAAAUAGGUAGCAGUACCAAUUUUUCCCAGUAAAAGUGAUUUUUUGUUUUCUUCAUUCAAUUAACCAUCGUUUUGAUCGAUGAUGCAUAAUAGAAAUAUGCAUUUCUUUACUGUUUUUUCUCCAUAAGAUCCUUUUAUCACUCAUUAAAAUUUUGCAAGUUCUUGCCAUACCCGAAGCUUCCAUUAUCGCUGACUUCGCCGGAAUGCCUGCACCCAUGUUCCAGGUGCCAAUAAUGAAUCCUGUGUUUAGGUGCUUCUACAUGAAUCCCGUGCAUAGUCUCGAUCACCACCACUGGGGUCUGCAGGAGGUGCCUUUGAGAACUUGAUCAGCUACUUGAGCUUCAUUGUCAGCGAAGUCUCCACUGGGUUGCCCAGAUCUGUCCUGAAUUGCUUCAUUGAUGACAAUUUGGAGAAGGCUCCGCUGACACUUACAAAGGAUGUUUUCCUUUGUUGGAAAGACGAGGAUACGCUGGAGAUAGACAUGGGGUGGUAAGAAAAUGAUGAGUUACUGAUGAUAUUAUGCUUGCUGGUCUAAACCUACAUGUAUUAUGUCAGUUUGUUGUUAAGAGUAUCUUGAAAAUAUAAAGCCACUGGAUGGCCAGGCAUUCUAUACUAUCGUCUUUCCAAGAGCCCACAUUUCUGCAUGUAUAUAUUUGUUGUACAGCCUAUGCUGAUUUGCCUACAAUAAUUAUCAGAAGGUAAUAUGCAGCAGCCAAAUUCUCUCGGUCGA